ACAGAGCACUCUGACCUAUUUCAAAAUGGUUCCUUUUCCCUUCUCCUUGCAGGAAGCAGGAAGGGAUUUUUUUCUCACAUAUUUACUGUGCGAACCUGGCCGAGCUCCUGGAGAUAUAUCUCACAGUAUUGUGGGGAGCCCUCUUAUGACUGCCUCUUCCUGGAGUUUUUAAUUCUCAGAGUUGUAUACCCUGAGCCUUCAGCAACUUGUCGAUUAUAGCUCCAGUUUUUCUAUUCUGUACUUGUUCCAAUGGGAGUUUCUGCUGUUGAGUCUCUGCUUUGGAAAUACAAACCAGCCUUUCAGAAUCUGGAUAAACUAUGAAAUCCUGCAUUAUACAGAAUGUCAAACAGACAUAAAAGCCAGCAGAGCAUCAACUGUGGAGCUUAGGAAUCAUCUCAGAAAGAAGUUUACAAUGAAAAUCUUGCUGAGUCCAGAGUCUGAAAGAACUGAAGACUACGGUCGUUUUGACCACAGGAGGAGUCAUUGUCUGAGCCAAAGGACCAUGGGGGCAACUUUGAACCAGGAUAAGUACGAAAGUUGACUAAUACUCAAACUGAUGAGGGUAAGAAUGUGCCUAUCUUUUUUUUUCUUUUAUUAUACUUUCAAAACGUAACACAGCACCUGGCUCAGAGUGGACCCUCCACGAAUAUUACUGAAUAAAUUACUCUCUCAGGCAGAUACACCUUUCACCAAGGACUAUGGUGGAUUAAAAGAGAGACUAUAGAUGUGAAACCAAAAGAACUUGAAAUCAAGGCACACAUUAGUAUUUACUAACUUUGUAACAGUCAAAAAAUUGUAUAAUAUGCUUCAGCCUCUUUAUCCGAAAUAAUUCUUACCUUUCAUUGCUCUAAAGAUUGAAUGGGAAAAUUUAAGAAAAUACAUAAUUAGAAAAAAUGUCAAUUCCUGUUUGAAGUCAUCUGCUCACAAAAAAAAAUGAAAGCAAAAACAGUUUUAAAUUCUUAUAAUCAAGUGUUAAUAUCAGAGCUUCUUUUAGUUCUUUCAACAUCACUGAUAUUUUUGUCCCUAUUUGUCAUGGUCUUUAUGUUUUCUUUUGGGAGGGGUGGAAUUCAUUAAUCUGAAAUAUUCUUUUUCCACUCAAUUGACCUUAAGUUGCUAAAGAGUAUAUUUUAAGUUAGAUGUAAAGAACUUCUUGUAUUUUUUUAUUAGAAUGAGUUAAAUAUCUUAAACAAUUUCUAUUACCUGUGACAUUACUGAAGAUACAAAAUUCUUUACCAUAUCAACAGAUAGCAUAACUUCUGAAGAUACAGCUAACUUGUGGUUUAGAUUAUGCUAUGAUCUGAAUGUUUGUGUUUCCCCAAAAUUCACGUUGAAAUCCUAACCUCCAAAGGUGAUGGUAUUAGUAGAUGGGGCCUUUGGGAGAUGAUUAGGUCAGAGGAUGGAGCCCUCAUGCAAUUGCUUGUAUUAU
rnacentral:lncRNA from 1 species